rnacentral:rRNA from 1 species
AGAACGAACGCUGGCGGCAUGCCUAACACAUGCAAGUCGAACGAGAUCCUUCGGGGUCUAGUGGCGCACGGGUGCGUAACGCGUGGGAAUCUGCCCUUAGGUACGGAAUAACUCAGGGAAACUUGUGCUAAUACCGUAUGAUGUCUUCGGACCAAAGAUUUAUCGCCUAGGGAUGAGCCCGCGUAGGAUUAGCUAGUUGGUGGGGUAAAGGCCUACCAAGGCUACGAUCCUUAGCUGGUCUGAGAGGAUGAUCAGCCACACUGGGACUGAGACACGGCCCAGACUCCUACGGGAGGCAGCAGUGGGGAAUAUUGGACAAUGGGCGAAAGCCUGAUCCAGCAAUGCCGCGUGAGUGAAGAAGGCCUUCGGGUUGUAAAGCUCUUUUACCCGGAAGAUAAUGACUGUACCGGGAGAAUAAGCCCCGGCUAACUCCGCGCCAGCAGCCGC